rnacentral:lncRNA from 1 species
AUGUGCUCAGGACUUGUCCACGGGAGUGUUCACACUGUACUAAGUGGAUUCAGCAGAAAAAAAAAAAUGUCCAUCGGGAGAGAAGGGCUUUUGUUUCUUGAAUAUGCCAGCGGCUUUGGAAGGAUUACACUGAAAAUAAAAAUAAAAUUAAAGAAAAAAAAAUGGAAAAGAGACUGCAAAGAAGCACCAGGCAUAGCUACUACAACACUGUAUGCUGACCUCAGGGAGCUGCAAAGAGGCUGUGAUUCCUCCUUGGUGGGAAAUGCUGCCCGCUCCCGAUUGGGGAUGAAGAAUCCCUCCAUGACUAAAACCUGUGCUGCAUGCCUGACCAUACCAUAUGGCCCUUUUGAAAUCAAAAUUCUGGACUGAUUGGCCAUUUGCAAAUACAGUGUUGGCUUGAAUCCUAACGAAAACAGCAUCAUUUUCAAAGGCACCUGAACCAAAGUGAAUAAAAAUGUUUGGUAUUGUUUCCCA